UCACUCUCUUCUCUGUCUUGG
rnacentral:miRNA from 1 species